AGUCGAACGGGCUCUUCGGAGCUAGUGGCGGACGGGUGAGUAACGCGUGAGAAUUAGCUUCAGGAGGGGGAUAACGACUGGAAACGGUCGCGAAUACCCCAUAUAGCUCCGGGUGAAAAGUAAUUCGCCUGAAGAUGAGCUCGCGUCAGAUAAGCUAGUUGGUGGGGUAAGAGCCUACCAAGGCGACGAUCUGUAGCUGGUCUGAGAGGAUGAUCAGCCACACUGGGACUGAGACACGGCCCAGACUCCUACGGGAGGCAGCAGUGGGGAAUUUUCCGCAAUGGGCGCAAGCCUGACGGAGCAAGACCGCGUGGGGGAUGACGGCCUAAUGGUUGUAAACCCCUUUGCUCUGGGAAGAAGACUGACGGUACCAGAGGAAUCAGCCUCGGCUAACUCCGUGCCAGCAGCCGCGGUAAUACGGAGGAGGCAAGCGUUAUCCGGAAUUAUAGGGCGUAAAGCGUACGCAGGUAGGUAUUCAAGUCCGAAGUCAAAGCGUGGGGCUUAACACCAUAGAGGCAGUGGAAACUGAGUGACAAGAGUGCGGUACGGGUCGAGGGAAUU
rnacentral:rRNA from 1 species